rnacentral:lncRNA from 1 species
AAAGUUUAACAGUAUUAAGAGUGUCAUCCUAAAAUCCUAUUAUCAAGUACAAAAGGAGACUAAAUAAUGUGCCUUUCCAUAGCCUGCAAAUAAAUAACCCAUUUAUUCGUGCAAUUAAGCAAUGAUUGUCAGUUUUUAAAACUCUAAUUAUCCUUGUGUAUGGCUUGAGAUGCCAUGUUUAUUGCUACUUUUCAGGUUUUUCUAUAAACUUUUGUUUUGGAUUUCAAUUAUAAACUAACAAUUGAAAAUGUGGGUUGCCUGUUAAUUUUGGGCUGUAAUGCAGAACAUUGUUCAAGACUAUUUGUCACUUGACCAUUAUUGAUAUUCCGGCCCUUGAAUCCUCUUACCAGUCAGCCCAAAUGCUCUUAUUAGUUCCAAGUAGGAGUACAUCUUGUUAUUAUCAGCAUCAAAUAGCUCCAGUUGUUCUUGUUGGGGUGUCUCUGCUCCUAGAGGGCUCUGGAUUUCACUGUAAGUUAAAUAACCAUUUGCUUUGUUGUCAGCCCAUAGAAAAAGACUUGAAGGUCUAUGAAAAUAAAAAAGUUUGGUAUAUUUCAACUCAAAUUUUCAAUGUUAACCCAAACAUCUACACCUUUCAGAACAGCAUUUUGUCCUCCUGGGGCUGGUCUUCUUUCCGGUCCUCAAACAUACCUAGAUCAUUUUUUGCUUCCACCUUGGCUUUCAUUGCACAUCACUUUACCACUUCAGUUGCUCCUUUCCUUUCUUUCAACAUCCAGUUUACCUCUUUUCUUCAUUCUACUUGAACUAUCUGAUCAUUUACUUUAAUAAUUUUUCUUCUGUGAUCUGUAUCCUCAUGAUGUUUUAUAUCUAAUCUAGUGUUUUCGUUUUCUGUUUGCCUCAUUCCUUAACAUAAGCACUGUAAUGGAAUAUUCUUCUUCACUGGUAGUCUAGUUUUUGAUAUAUUCAUUGGAUCUUCUUUCUCUCCUAAAACUGUUUAAAAACUUCCAUCUGGCUACAUUUUAAUGGCCUUUUUAUCACAGUCUUUGCAGUUCCCUUGUUUACAUUCAUUUGCUACCUUCUGUCUAAUAUUUCUUAAUAUUACAUCAAAAGAUACCUACUUAUUUGGCUAACAAUUCUGAACAUACUGAUAUCUCUUACACUCCUAAGUUAGUAAAAUUUAUUAGUUUAUACAAAAUCAUAUGUUUCUUCAUUUGUAACACCACCAAAUAAUAUUCCUUUGUCAGUAUUCUUAUUAUUCUCUUGAUCUCAUUGCUUUAAGUACUGCCUUUAUUAAAACACAAACAAACAUUGUUUUCUGUUUCCGAAGUGCCAGGCUCUGUACGUAAUACUGGAAAUGCUGGGAUGAAGAAGCCAUAGUUUCUGACUUCCAGGGGACAAAACCAGCAAGAUUUUUGCUGAAGUUCUUUUGUCCAAGAGGGAAUCAAAAGCUCCUUCCCUUCAAAUCAUGUCAACCAUUUUCUUCUAAAAACAAAAGUAAGAAAUACAAACUACUGCACACAAAUAAUAUUUAAAUAAAAAAUCAGAAAGUUAUCACUGACUUAUUUUAUACUUGCUUUAGAGAACUUAAGCUAAAUCAUUUGCAUAGGAUGUUCUAUGAUGGGUGACUAUUUCAUGCUCAGGAUGCCUGCUCUGUGGCCAACAUUUAUUGAAGGUCACACCUUAAUAUACUUUUCUGUUUAAGGAGGUUGGACUAGUGGCCUUGAAAGUCCUUCCAAUACUGGGUGGGCCAUCUGACAAAUUAAUAUCAAGUUCCCACGGUUUUGUCCAAGCCCUUGACUUUUCCUUCCUUCCUCUUCAGUCAGCAACUCCAUUCCAAACCUAGGUCUUUGCAUCACCCAGGGUCUCCCCACUUCUGAAAUACUCUGCUCUAAGAUUUCCUCUCUGUUCUUAGCCUCUUAACAUUCCAGUUCCCAUUCCCACUACACUCUAUUAAUGUUCAGCUCAUAACUGCUCCUUUUUUUUUCCCUGUCAAUCUAAAAGAUUCCUCCUGGUUACAUUUUAUUUGAUAAUCUCUCUGGGCCUUUGAUCUCUAACUUAAGCAGUUCUAUUGUCUACACCCACAAAACUUGACUCUACUUUCCUGCUACACUCAAUGAAGCAAAAGUCCAAUCCUGGAUAACCACCUGUGUUCUCCACUCCUGUACCUGGACUCAUCAGAAAUUUUACCGAAAUCAAAUAGCCACGUGGAUUGGUGCUACUAAAAUUGAAAUCCCACAGGUCAAGGUCCUCAUCUUAGUUGAACUGUCAAUGAUACCUGCACACCAUUUUAUAUGUUCCAUUUUGGCUCCCUCUCUUAUUGUCCGUAGCUAUUUCAAACCUUCACCAUUUUCCCCUCAGUUUUUUUGUUUUUUUUAGUUUGCCAAUUUACCUCCAUUGGUUUCAGCAGAUUAUCUUUUUUUACUUACUGAAAGAAAUAAUUCCCAAAGAUGUUUCUUCAUCUUGCUGCCACUUCUCCUAACUUAUUUGUAUCCAUACCUCUAUUUUUCUUAUUUUCUAUAGUUUCAGUGAAAAAUAAUAAUAUAGCAAAAAAUUAACAACACACAUUCUCUUCUAGUGCCUAAAUCUAAUCUCAUUUUUCAGAUUCUACUCUGUAGUUCUUUAUCAAGCUAUCCAAGUGAAAAUAUCUAGGAGGCAUUUUGAUAUACAAAUCUGGAACUCAAGAAAGAAAGCCUGGUUGGAGAUUCAUGUUUGAAAUUCAGCAGCAAAUAAAGAUGAAUUAAAACUGUGGCAGAAGAACAGUGGCUGGCACAUAUACUCAAUAAUAUCAGUCUAUUCUUGUCCCUGUUUCCCUAAUCUCAUCCUCUUCCUCAUUUCCUUUCUUAAAUAGUGACACCAGAAUUAAUACCACCACUCAAGCCAGUAAAUCCUUGUGUCACCUUAGAUGCCUUCCACACCCACCAUCUUCGACUAGUAGCGAAGUCUUGUUAGUUUACCUCCCUGAUAUCUUUUGAGUAUCUUCUCUGUUGCUGUUGCCUUCACGCAGCUGGUUAGCAUGUUUUCCUGGCUUAUUGCCACUGUUCCCUAAUGGUUUGCUCUGCUUCCAGGCUGUCUUUCUUGCAACCUAUUUUCCUUCCACUUACUGAAUUAUCUGUGUACACAUGCAAAUGUGGUCAUUCUAUUUAUAAUUACUCAAGGUCUUCAAGUAGUUCCCUAGUCACAGUAAGAUAAAACCUAGGCUGACACAUAACACCCUUCAUUAUUUGGUGCUUAAUUGCAUCUCCAAACUCAUUUCUUUUUACUUUCUACACUUCCUACCUGCUCGAUAUAGUCAUUUGCAAUUUCUCAUAUGUAUUAUGCUAUUUUUAAUAAACAUAAGCUUUAGUAUCUCUGUUUCCUUCUUGAGUUCCCACUACCUGCCAUCUUUUUCCUCACCUCUUCCCACUUCUGUCGUCACCCUUUCCUUGACCAAAUGUUUCCUCUUCAAAUCAUAACCCUAAUAUUAUCUUUUAGAGAAAGACUUCUCAGUCUGAGUUAUGCUCCCUGCUCCCAAGUUUUCUUCUGGUUUUCUAUGCUCAUGGCUCGUUGUUAUAAUUGCUCACACGUUAGUUUCUCCACUAACCAUGAAGAAACCAUGUCAGUGACUUUUUAAUUUUAAUUCCCAGCACCUAGUAGAGACCUCAGAUAUGGGAAGCCCACAUAAAAUGUUUGCUGAAUGAACAAAAGAAGCAUUUUGAUUCAUUAUUUAUCCUACUGCUUCUAUAUCUGUGUAUGUUAGGAUUUAGGAUGAGAAUUUAUGGUAGAAAUAAAGCUAAAUUUAUGUAAGAUGAGACAAAAUAUAUUUAACUGUUAACUCUUGGCCACUCUGACCCAAAUAAGAGCCCCUUGCUAGCUUUCUCUGAGUACUAAGCAUAUGCAUGUAUUUCCCCCCUCCCCUUCUGGGCUUUAAAUUCUUCCACAUCAGGAACCACAUCUGUCAGGCUCAGUGACCUAUCCUUAGUGUCUGGCACAGGAUAUUUUCAAUAGAGGCUGUGAGAUUUACUAAAUAAUUGAUUCUCCUCUGGAGAAUGUCUAGUGGAAUAGUUGUUCUCGAUCCUUCGUAGAUAAACUUAUUUCUGAAUCUUUGUCAAGUAGUUGCCUUUCUUGUUGCCCUUAUAAAUUAAAGCAUAAAUUCACUGAUUUUAUAUGAUAUAUAUAACCUAUGUGCUAAAAUAUAUGGGAUAUGAAUUAGAGUUCAACAAGGAUGUUAUUUUUAAAAACCAAACCAGAAACACAUACAAACAUGUUAUUUUAACGCAGUGGAGAAAGCUCAAAAUAAUAACCUGUAUCCCUGUCAAAA